rnacentral:rRNA from 1 species
AUUGAACGCUGGCGGCAGGCCUAACACAUGCAAGUCGAGCGGGGUUUUCGGACCUAGCGGCGGACGGGUGAGUAAUGCGUAGGAAGCUGCCCGAUAGAGGGGGAUACCAGUUGGAAACGACUGUUAAUACCGCAUAAUGUCUACGGACCAAAGUGUGGGACCUUCGGGCCACAUGCUAUCGGAUGCGCCUACGUGGGAUUAGCUAGUUGGUGAGGUAAUGGCUCACCAAGGCGACGAUCUCUAGCUGGUUUGAGAGGAUGAUCAGCCACACUGGAACUGAGACAAGGUCCAGAAUCCUACGGGAGGCAGCAGUGGGGAAUAUUGGACAAUGGGCGCAAGCCUGAUCCAGCCAUGCCGCGUGUGUGAAGAAGGCCUUCGGGUUGUAAAGCACUUUCAGCGAGGAGGAAGGGGUGUGUGUUAAUAGUACACACCUUUGACGUUACUCGCAGAAGAAGCACCGGCUAACUCUGUGCCAGCCGCCGCGGUAAGAC